AAGUCGUAACAAGGUUUCCGUAGGUGAACCUGCGGAAGGAUCAUUAAAGAUUUUGUUUUUUGGGGUUUAUCCUGAAAAAUAAUUCACCUUUUGUGCAUUGUUAUUAGAUAUACUUUGGUUAGAGCUUUGAUUUCAUUUUUGGAAGUCAACUUCUUGCUGACUCUAUCCUUUCUGAGGACAGUUGGCUAUGAAGCGGCCUACCAAAGUUUUUUAUCAAACACUUUUAAUUUAUCUGACCUAAAAACAAAUAAUUAAAUCAUAACUUUCAACAACGGAUCUCUUGGCUCUC
rnacentral:misc_RNA from 1 species